AGAGGAAUAGCUGGGUCAAAUGGUGGUUCCAUUCCCAGAUUUCCAAGGAAUCUCCAUAUUGCUUUCCAUAUUGGCUGCACCAAUUUGCAGUUCCACCAGCAAU
rnacentral:pre_miRNA from 1 species